UUUCCGUAGGUGAACCUGCGGAAGGAUCAUUACCGAGUUAGGGUUCUCUGAAAACGAAGCCCGACCUCCCAACCCUGUGUUUAUACCGACCACUGUUGCUUCGGCGGACCGCCUCUCCUCCCUGUUUACCAGGAGGGUUGUGGGCGCCGGGGGCGAGAGAUCGCCCCUGGAGCGCGUCCGUCGACGGCCAUCAAACAAACUCUUUUUAGAAACCACCUUCUGAAAACCUUUUAGUUAUUGAAUUAACAAAAACAAAACUUUCAACAACGGAUCUCUUGGUUCUGGCAUCGAUGAAGAACGCAGC
rnacentral:misc_RNA from 1 species